rnacentral:rRNA from 1 species
CCUACGGGUGGCAGCAGUGAGGAAUAUUGGUCAAUGGACGAGAGUCUGAACCAGCCAAGUAGCGUGAAGGAUGACUGCCCUAUGGGUUGUAAACUUCUUUUAUAAAGGAAUAAAACGAGGCACGUGUGCCUUUUUGCAUGUACUUUAUGAAUAAGGAUCGGCUAACUCCGUGCCAGCAGCCGCGGUAAUACGGAGGAUCCGAGCGUUAUCCGGAUUUAUUGGGUUUAAAGGGAGCGUAGAUGGGUUGUUAAGUCAGGUGUGAAAGUUUGCGGCUCAACCGUAAAAUUGCAAUUGAUACUGGCAGUCUAGAGUACAGUUGAGGUAGGCGGAAUUCGUGGUGUAGCGGUGAAAUGCUUAGAUAUCACGAAGAACCCCGAUUGCGAAGGCAGCUUACUAAACUGUGACUGACAUUGAUGCUCGAAAGUGUGGGUAUCAAACAGGAUUAGAUACCCGGGUAGUC